UACGGAUUCUACAGCAGCCCUACCGUGCUGUAUGAUUCUUAUGGAACCCCAAAAGUAAGAUUUACUUCUCUAGAAAGUUCACGUGGUUAAGGAACCGCGUAGUAAAUUGUAUCGCUGUGUCUCCACCAAAUCUCCACGUGUCCCAUCAGCACACGGAGGAGCUGUAUAUAUAUAAACCACUCACGGUUUCUGUCAAUCCCACCACACACCUCCACCAGUUGCCCUACUUCUUCUUCUACCAAAACUCUCUCAAUUUUCCUGCAAAAAAUUGUCAGCAAAUAUGGCGAGCGAAGGAACAUUAAACUGCGUUGACAUUCUCAUCGCCAUCCUCUUGCCUCCUCUUGGAGUCUUCCUCAAGUUGGUUGCCAUGCGGAAUUCUGGAUCUGUUGUUGCUGACCAUCUUUGGUUACCUCCCUGGGAUUAUUUAUGCCAUUUAUGUCAUCACCAAGUGAUAUCCAAUUUCUGUAUUAGAGAUGUGAAGGACACAUGUGUCAUUUUGUGUUUGCAGUAUUGGAUUGUUUUCAGCCGUUUGAUUAUCUGGUGCAGCCAAGUGGAUGGUUGAUGUUUUCAUGUAGUGAUUGUUCAUUUUUUGUUUUUUAUUUUAAUUUAAUUUUCCUUCCACCUAUUAUCUGUCUAUUGUAAAGAUAGACUAAUGCUAUUCACAUGCUCAGUCUUACUCAUUUGUCAGUGUAAUUUGUUUUUUAUUUCGAUGGUAAUGUAAUUUGGUUUUUCAUUUCACCCAAUUGGGUUACAAAGUAUCUUACAGCC